rnacentral:rRNA from 1 species
ACGGCGAGUGAAGCGGCAACAGCUCAAAUUUGAAAUCUGGCCUCCACGGUCCGAGUUGUAAUUUGUAGAGGAUGUUUUGGGUACCGCCGCGGGUUAAUUUUCUUGGAACAGAAUACCAAAGAGGGUGAGAGUCCCGUCUUGGCCCGCGGUAGGGCUCGUGUAAAACUCCUUCGACGAGUCGACUAGUUUGGGAAUGCUGGUCAAAAUGGGUGGUAAAUUUCAUCUAAAGCUAAAUAUUGGCCGGAGACCGAUAGCGCACAAGUAGAGUGAUCGAAAGAUGAAAAGCACUUUGAAAAGAGAGUUAAACAGUAUGUGAAAUUGUUGAAAGGGAAGCGCAGGCAACCAGACUCGUGCACGGGGUUCCCCCUUGCUUCUGCUUGGGUCACUUCCCCGUGUCCGGGCCAUCAUCAGUUUCGGGGGCCGGUUAAAGGCUCUGGGAAUGUAUCCUCACCUUCGGGGGAGGACUUAUAGCCCAGGGUGUCAUGCGGCCACCCGGGACUGAGGCACGCGCUUCGGCGAGGAUGAUGGCGUAAUGGUUGUCUGCGACCCGUCUUGAAACACGGACCAAGGAGUCUAACAUCUAUGCGAGUGUUCGGGUGUCAAACCCUGGCGCGGAAUGAAAGUGAACGGAGGUAGGAAGGCUUACGCCUGCACUAUCGACCGAUCCUGAUGUCUUCGGAUGGAUUUGAGUAAGAGCAUAGCUGUUGGGACCCGAAAGAUGGUGAACUAUGCGUGAAUAGGGUGAAGCCAGAGGAAACUCUGGUGGAGGCUCGCAGCGGUUCUGACGUGCAAAUCGAUCGUCAAAUUUGCGUAUAGGGGCGAAAGAC